rnacentral:ncRNA from 1 species
GAAAGCCGGGUGAUGGGAAACUAUCAUGCCUGGUUUGGGGCGGGGGAAAAGACGGAGAUAAAAUCAAAGUCUUACCUAUCGUCAU